rnacentral:sRNA from 1 species
UGUCAGCACUUGACGCCAGUCGCGUACU